rnacentral:rRNA from 1 species
GUGCCCCUACGGGGGGCAGCAGUGGGGAAUAUUGCGCAAUGGGCGAAAGCCUGACGCAGCGACGCCGCGUGAGGGAUGAAGGUCUUCGGAUCGUAAACCUCUGUCAGCAGGGAAGAACGGUCACUGCGCUAAUCAGCAGUGAAUUGACGGUACCUGCAAAGGAAGCACCGGCUAACUCCGUGCCAGCAGCCGCGGUAAUACGGAGGGUGCGAGCGUUAAUCGGAAUUACUGGGCGUAAAGCGCUCGUAGGCGGCAUGUCAAGUCAAGGGAGACAUCCCCGCGCUCAACG